rnacentral:rRNA from 1 species
GUGCCAGCCGCCGCGGUAAUACCGGCAGCCCGAGUGAUGGCCGAUCUUAUUGGGCCUAAAGCGUCCGUAGCUGGCCGCACAAGUCCAUCGGGAAAUCCACCUGCUCAACAGGUGGGCGUCCGGUGGAAACUGCACGGCUUGGGACCGGAAGGCUCGAGAGGUACGUCCGGGGUAGGAGUGAAAUCCCGUAAUCCCGAACGGACCACCGAUGGCGAAAGCGUCUCGAGAAAACGGAUCCGACAGUGAGGGACAAAAGCUAGGGUCUCCAACCGGAUUAGAAACCCGGGUAGUCC